GACGAACGCUGGCGGCGUGCUUAACACAUGCAAGUCGAACGAUGAAGCCUUAGCUUGCUUUGGUGGAUUAGUGGCGAACGGGUGAGUAACACGUGAGCAACGUGCCCAGGACUCUGGAAUAACCGCGGGAAACCGUGGCUAAUACCGGAUAGGUGCCGAGGCCGCAUGGUCUUCGGUUGGAAAGUUUUUGCGGUACUGGAUCGGCUCACGGCCUAUCAGCUUGUUGGUGGGGUAAUGGCCUACCAAGGCGACGACGGGUAGCCGGCCUGAGAGGGUGACCGGGCACACUGGGACUGAGACACGGCCCAGACUCCUACGGGAGGCAGCAGUGGGGAAUAUUGCACAAUGGGCGCAAGCCUGAUGCAGCAACGCCGCGUGGGGGAUGACGGCCUUCGGGUUGUAAACCUCUUUUAGUAGGGAAGAAGCGCAAGUGACGGUACCUGCAGAAAAAGCACCGGCUAACUACGUG
rnacentral:rRNA from 1 species